CGACUCCUCGGCUCACUGAGCCCGCAUCAGUUCUAUCAAACUUUUAAAAAGGAAUAAACAUUCAUGCUCCUCAAACUCUUCCGAACACUGAAGAGGAGGGGACACUUCUGAAUUCACUCUGUGAGGCCAGCGUUACCCUGACACCAAGGGCAGACAAAGGACACACAGAGGGGUGGGGGUGCAUGGAGGACACCAGGAGAGGACUGGGACUGGGAGCCAGAGAAGGGAAAGGGGACAGACAGGACCAACAUUGACAGGUCUCAGUUUUACAGCUCUGAGGAGGGGGCCGGCGGCCUCAGAGAGGCCUCUGAAGGGCGAUUGGAAACUGGAGACCGCCGAGCUUCCUCCUGGGAUCUCCCCAAAGCAACCUCCUGGGAUCUCCCCAAGGCAACCGCUCCUCAGUGAGAAGGAAGCAGGAUUUCUGCCAAUCAGCCCCUCCCAGCAGGCCCGGAGUUCACGCCCGCCCUCCUGGCCAGUGACUAACGACUAAUGGUCCCGGGUAGAGUCUGACCACUAGAAUCCUUGCAAACGGCAGAGACACACAGCCCAGCACCCGCCCUCCCCCAGUUCUCACGGGUGGGGCACAAGGGUGCAAGGGGAUAUAUUCUGAGCCACUGAGGAAGUGGCUCCAGAUGCUGGUUUCCAGAGUGUAGGCUGAAGAUAGCAGGUGACUCAAGGAGCCAUGAAAGGCAUCCAUCUGGUCCUGCUGGCCGUGCUGCUGUGCUCCCAGCAAGCCCUGAGCCUGCAGUGCUACAACUGCACUGAAGAAGAGGACGUCAGCAAGUGCCAGACCACCAUCUCAUGUGACUCCACACCGAGCAUCUGCUAUAAGGGCGGCAGGACCUUGACCAAGACCAGUGCCCUUCCCACAGGCCAAGCAGUGGAUUCCCCAAACCCCAAUUGUGGCCAGUGUCUGAAGUCUCCUGUGAGGAAGCCAGUCCAGGGAGGGUCUGUGCCUGGCCGAGGCCCUCCCCACAUGGACCCAGGGCCAGGUGACAUCCCAGAGCAGCCAUGGCCGUCUGCAGACCCGCGGUUUAGACCAGUGUUUUCAUCCAAGCUCAGGGCUCCUUCUGGCCCCGCACAUCCUAUUAACAGGGCACUUUGGUUUGUGGAAAUAAAAUAGCGUACUCCAAGUUUGUGAUUCUUCAAUCAUGAAUGCCGUAAAAGAAUCUUGGUCAACACCUUGGCCGCACUGGGGCAGGGGAGGCAGAGGGAGGAGGGGUGCUGGAAAGUGUCAGGUGAACAGCUUGGACAGGAUGCGUGGGAAUCUAAACCUUGAGUUCCCCGUUUGCCCAAGGGCUGGGCUGGAAACGGGCUGCCUGUGUACACACAGUCCUGGCUGGAAAGAUGAAUUUUCAGAAGGGGCAAAUAGUUUUUCUGAAAUAUCAAGAGUUUGUUUCAGUGACUGGAAGCAUUGCGGGUCUGUAAAUUCAAGACUAUGAACAUCGGGCAGACACUGGACUGUGGAGAGGGGCUCCGGGCUGUGAGGGGUAUUUCUCAGAGGAGCUGGUUCUCAUCAACCUCGUGUCUAAUCAACCACUGAUUACAAAAUUGCUCAUCUGCAUAUAAGUAAAUAAACCAGUAUAAAAACUAUGCA
rnacentral:lncRNA from 1 species